CGACUUUGUUUAUUUUGCUUUGAAGGUGAACACUUUAUUUUGUCGCUUAUAAAUAUCGAGACUGUCCGAACAUUAGCAGAUAAAUAAUGAAAAGGAGGAUGUAACAGGUGAGUGGUUAUAAUUCUGUAUAUGAGAGUUAAUUUUGAACGCUCUCAGUGUAGAUUAUUAGUGGCAAUAAUAGCAAAACUUGGUUGAUAGGAAUGGAAGUGCGUGGAAAAUACAAGGGAAAUUCGACGUUUC